GUUGGGUUAGUCCGUACGAGCGCAACCCUUGUCCUUACUUGCCAGCACUUCGGGUGGGAACUUUAAGGAGACUGCCGGUGACAAACCGGAGGAAGGUGGGGACGACGUCAAGUCAUCAUGGCCCUUACGACCAGGGCUACACACGUGCUACAAUGGGACGCACAGAGGGUUGCGAAGCGGUGACGUGAAGCGAAUCCCAGAAAACGUCUCGUAGUCCGGAUCGGAGUCUGCAACUCGACUCCGUGAAGUCGGAAUCGCUAGUAAUCGCGAAUCAGAAUGUCGCGGUGAAUACGUUCCCGGGCCUUGUACACACCGCCCGUCACACCAUGGGAGUGGGUUGCUCCAGAAGUGGCUAGUCUAACCUUCGGGAGGACGGUUACCACGGAGUGAUUCAUGACUGGGGUGAAGUCGUAACAAGGUAGCCCUAGGGGAACCUGGGGCUGGAUCACCUCCUU
rnacentral:rRNA from 1 species